rnacentral:tRNA from 1 species
GGGGUUGUAGCUCAGUUGUAGAGCACUUGCCUAGCAUGCAUGAGGUACUUGGUUCAAUCCUC